GGGGGGCGGGGGACGUGUGAGCUGGAUAAGGGGCUCUGUCAGUGGGAGACGCGGGCCGGCGCCUCGGGGCGUUGUGAGCCAGGCCUGCAGCGAAGGGGGCGUGUGAGCCGGAAAUGGGGCCCUGGGAGGCGGGAGGGCAGGCGGUCACCAUCUGGCCUGAGGGGCACGCAGCUGGGGGUCGAUCCCGGGCCCCUUCCGCGUGGGUCCGGCGGGGCGCCCAGAGAAUGCCCGGGGGCUCCAGCGGUGGGCUUGGCCGGUGCGUGCGUCCUGCCGCCACCGGGCUGCUUCUUGUUUUUAAUUUGAAGACGGUGACAAUAUCCUGAUUUUCCUACCCUACACUUUGGGUUCCGAGAUACAAGCAGCAUCUGAAGAAAAUUUACAGCAGUUCCAAGAGGAGCAUAUUGCUUCCAUAAGAAGUCAGAUGGAACUCAGAAUUAAAGACUUGGGAUCUGAACUCUCCAAGAGGAAAACUUUUGAAGAUUCUAAUAAAGCAGAGUUGGAAAAAUAUAAGCAACACUACCUAGAGAAACUAAAAGAAAGUCCUUGGGAAAGAAACUAGACAAGACUAAUGAGAGCCCGGCGGAGAUCAGCACCAAACUUGAGGUGGAGAAACAGCAGAAGAGAUCUUUACUCAGCACUCCUAGCAGCACGCUAGUCCUGGAGCCCUCUUCUGUUGGAAAUUUCAAUCCUACUUCAGGGUUCAAUGCAAAUCUUCUUUCAAGAGCAAUUGUAGGGUUUUCUACCUCAAUUCCACACCGUUCAAAUGACAGCGUGGAGACUUACUUGACCAAGUGGUUCACAAUCAUUUCCAGGCUCUGCUGCUCCCACCACAGUUUUUCUACCCCUAAGUGGAAAUGACUGGCAUCUAAACACUAACCACAUAUGGGUGUUUUUUAUUGGAAGGAAUCCUAGAUAAAUUGUUUUUAUGAAUUAAACAAACUUGUGAUACAUAAUCAAAAGAUUAAUUUCUGGUUUUAGGUUAACAUUUUUUGUUUUUUUCUUGUACAAGCGUACAACUUUAAUUGCUAUUUUACUUACAGAAUUUUGGUUUCAAUUUCUAAAACAUAUCUUGCUGAGCAGUUGUAGAAUGUUUCUAAGUUUGUAGUUAAAUAUUUAAAACUGGUGAAUGAAGCUCAGUUUUGUCUCUGUCUUGACAUCACCUGGAUGAAUGAUGACUGAGAUAGCAAUGAAGGGGAGUCUUUAAAUUGCAACUAGUUUUCAUUGUGAAAUCAUUGUGAUUAAAAUGUCCA